rnacentral:rRNA from 1 species
UACGAAGGGGGCUAGCGUUGUUCGGAAUUACUGGGCGUAAAGCGCACGUAGGCGGACUAUUAAGUCAGGGGUGAAAUCCCGGGGCUCAACCCCGGAACUGCCUUUGAUACUGGUAGUCUCGAGUCCGGAAGAGGUGAGUGGAAUUCCGAGUGUAGAGGUGAAAAUUCGUAGAUAUUCGGAGGAACACCAGUGGCGAAGGCGGCUCACUGGUCCGGUACUGACGCUGAGGUGCGAAAAGCGUGGGGGGAGCAAACA